AGUACGUGUUUCAUUCUUAUGCAAUUACAGGAAGUUGCAUAAUUCACCAAAUGCUACGUUAAAUAAUAGUAAUGAGUGUCAUGUGUCCUUGUCAUGUGAAUUAGACAAAAGUGGCAUUAAGUGUUAUGGGUGAGUCAUAAAGCACAUAAAGUGCAUGGGGAUACGUUUAAGGCCAAGGAAGUGAAUGCCUUUUUGCAUUUACAAUUGCUGCACAUUACUUUCUACUUGGAGAAUUCCCAUUUUUACAUUGCUUCCAUUUUUGUUUCUUAAGAAACGUACCAGCACCCCUAAAUUAAACCAUUCUCUCUUAGCUAAUCAUUUUGUUUCUUAAGAAAAUUAGCAUUAACCAUGGCUGCCAAGAUCACGGCCAUGGCAGUCCACAAUAAGGCUCAAGAUUUUGAUAGCAAAAAAAUAAAAUAAAUAAAUAAAUAAUCUCCGAGGUGUUCUAAGUGUUUGAAGGAGCAGCAAGAUCAGAAGUUAAAGUUGAAGAAGAUGAAAUGGGCAAAUUGUGCAAGUUAUUGGAAGAUCUGUCCUAAUUAUAUUUGAGACAUGCGAGCUCGAGAAGUAGACGUUGGACGUUAGAUAGAGUUCAAGGUAGACAGGGAGGUGAGCUUGAUCCAGAUUCUUAGUAGCUGUCAGCUGAUUGAGAGCACUCAAUUGUUCGGAGCUGAAGAACGACAGCGUCAGACGAAAAUGACUAAUGAUAUUGGAAGCUACAAAGUACACAUGUAAGCAACGGUGCGAAAGAUGCAUGUCGGAUAAGGUAAGAAUACUGAAACAUGAUUAAAAUAUAAAGUUGGCGGAUGAAAGAGAAAAUAAAUAGAAAGGAAUAACGGGUACAGUUUGAGUUGGACGUGCGAGGUUAUUCCUCAAGUUUAUAAAUGUGUUAAAAGUGGUUCAUAUUUAAGUAAAUCAUGAUCUAGAAAAUAAGUACAUGAUUAAUUGGUUAAAGACAUUGAACUAAAAUGGAGGGAGAGGAAUUUAUUUGUUAUAUUAUUAGGUGAGGAUUAAAGUAGUUUAAGUAUUGUACUAUGGAUAAAUUUUGAUGUGGCAACACUCUAUAUACGUGGAAGCAUGGCAAAUAAAUUAAUAGUGACUCAAGACAUUCGUACAAAUGCCCACAAAGUUUUAUCUUUGGAUGCCAUUUCAGUGGUGGACCCCACGGCUAUGAUGGUGAAUAAUUUAAAUGGUCCUCAAUUGAUAUAUCAUUAUCUGUGUAAUUGAGUAAAUUGGGGAUCAUGAUAGAAGUAAAUAAAUCAAUUGAAAUGGCUGGAUAAUUUUUUUUGAAUGGGCAUAUGUCCGUGUGACUCAUGGCUAGGUGGCAGAAGGUUAAGGUGUGUUUGUGUUUAUAUAACUGAUGGCAGCCUUAAGUGAUUAUAAUUUAAGAGAUUGUGGACAGGAAAUUAUUUAAUAAUUGUAGUGGGAAACAAGUCUAUUAGUUAAAGAAUAAAGUGACAAGUGCCAUAAUCAACAUGACUACGUGUCUCCAUAAAAGUGAUUAAAUAUUUAAGUUAAAAAAAAAUAUGUGUGUAAUUGACUAAAUGAGGAAUGUGGUGGAGGAAUGAAUUAAUUUGUUAGUAAUGGAUAAGUGUAAAUGUAACACUUCCAGGAGGUACCAUUUUAAGGUAUUAGUGACUAAGCAAUUAAUUCAUUAGUGGUGACAUUUGAUAAACAAUUUUCUGAAGUGGUAUAAAGUUAUACGGGCCCCAAGGUCAACUAAGGGAACAAGUAAUUAAUUACAUGAGAUAAAGUGAAGCAGUUACAAUUAGCAUAAAGGGGACAGGUGUGAUAUUUUACAUGCUACGUGUGGGCAUGUCAAGCAAGCAAUAUAUGACUAAGACUAUUUGGUAGAAUUGGUGGCUGAUUCAAUGGAGAUAAUAAAGUCUAAUAAUAUCAAUGGGUUGGUUAAGUGGAUGGGCACCACUGGAAAGUAAACGUUGGACCCUUCACCAUUUUAUAUAAGUUUUAUAUAGGAAAAAUUCAUACAUAUGUAUGUAGCAGAUUGCAUUUUCAAAAUAUUACGAGAAUGGUUACUUAGAGAUCUGAAAUGCAUCAUAAUAAAUUGAAGGGAGUCGACCAACGAAAGAGGCAUGUGAAGAACAUAAUCCAGUAAAAGAACAUUUAAGGAAGUAUUGGGAGCGCAGGGCUAAUUUAACAUUCGAGGACGAAUGUUCUAAAGGGGGGAAGGAUGUUACAUCCCGUAUUUUCAUGUGUUGGAAAGGGUGCGAGUUAAAUGAUAUUAGUAACGAAAAUGAGGUUAUCCUCCCAAGUUUGUGGGUGGUUGUAGUAAUGAUACAGAUGUGUUAUAAAUAUUUGAAGUUAAACAAAUCUAAGAAAAUAAGUUUUGUCGAGGUUCGAAAUUUAUUUGAUGAAAUACGGUCCAAGCUAUAAUAUCCCGUAUUUUUUUACUAGAAAAAUUUAAUCGUCCAAUAUGAUCAAAAUUUACACGAGCACGGAGGAUUUGAUCAUAUUCAAGUAUGCAAAUUAAGAACUCGGUGUAUAAGAGGAUGAAGUCCCGAAAUGAUUUAAGACGGUAAAAAGUGACAUCGAUGAUUGGAAAUAAUAUUUUAUGUGUGGCAAAAGAGGCCAUGAACUAGUGACAUAUCAUAGGAGCAUAAAAUGUGUAUAUAAGGUGUGCUAAAAAAAUGAUUAUUAUUUAAGUGAACUGAGAGCAAGAGACUAGUUAUGUGGAUAAAUUAAAAGUGGCCGAAGGUAGCGUGAAACAAAAAUGAUUAGUCAAAAUAUUUGGAUGAUGCUAUAGGACAACAUUUAUAUGCGGGUCCCACAAAGGGAUAAUCAUUAUAGGUAAUAUUGGACAAGGACAUAUGUUUGGUCCAAGGGCAGUACGUGUUUCAUUCUUAUGCAAUUACAGGAAGUUGCAUAAUUCACCAAAUGCUACGUUAAAUAAUAGUAAUGAGUGUCAUGUGUCCUUGUCAUGUGAAUUAGACAAAAGUGGCAUUAAGUGUUAUUGGUGAGUCAUAAAGCACAUAAAGUGCAUGGGGAUACGUUUAAGGCCAAGGAAGUGAAUGCCUUUUUGCAUUUACAAUUGCUGCACAUUACUUUCUACUUGGAGAAUUCCCAUUUUUACAUUGCUUCCAUUUUUGCUUCUUAAGAAACGUACCAGCACCCCUAAAUUAAACCAUUCUCUCUUAGCUAAUCAUUUUGUUUCUUAAGAAAAUUAGCAUUAACCAUGGCUGCCAAGAUCACGGCCAUGGCAGUCCACAAUAAGGCUCAAGAUUUUGAUAGCAAAAAAAUAAAAUAAAUAAAUAAAUAAAUAAUCUCCGAGGUGUUCUAAGUGUUUGAGGGAGCAGCAAGAUCAGAAGUUAAAGUUGAAGAAGAUGAAAUGGGCAAAUUGUGCAAGUUAUUGGAAGAUCUGUCCUAAUUAUAUUUGAGACCUGCGAGCUCGAGAAGUAGACGUUGGACAUUAGAUAGAGUUCAAGGUAUGUGAGGCUAGUCCUUUCUUUCUAUGGCAUGAAUCUUAUAGCUUGACUCUCUUUUUAUCCAUGAGUUUCCUUAAGUUCCGAAAAAUACGAGUCUAUGUCCAUAAUUAGCCACACAAGGUAAUGAGUAAAGUAUAGAAAUCCCAAUACUCAUGUUGUGAUGAUCCUAUGAUGUUAAUGAUGCUAUUUAUUGCUUACACUCACCUUAUAUGCUAAUUCCUUCAAGGUGAGACAGGAUGUCAAUGAAUGUUCCAUAAUGACGUCGGAAGCCACCCACCUUACGUCACUCCGAUAUAGCUAUGGCUUUUGAUUGGGCUCUUAUGCAUGCUUUAUAUAUAUACGUAUGUAUUUCCUCACACCGCGCCGCGCUAUAGUCGGCCGGGCAGGCACGUAGAUGUGCACACCACUAUAGUGGGCAGCUUAUACCCCGGACGCGGGAGGCUGGACGCAGGCUAUGAUUAUCACACCGCUCCUACCUGGACGGGCAGCUUAUACAUUAUCACACCGUACCUAUAUGGACGGGCAGCUUAUAUGUGUAUACAUACAUGAUAAUGAUUAUGAGUAGACAGGGAGGUGAGCUUGAUCCAGAUUCUUAGUAGCUGUCAGCUGAUUGAGAGCACUCCAUUGUUCGGAGGUGCUUAUGUUUAUUCUUUUGGCUCCUUUAUGUAUUUCGCGCACGACGGAGUCUUGUUCCAUCUAUAUGUAUAAUAUGUCAAUAGAGGCUCGUAGACGCGCAGUGUGGGUUAGAUGGUCUCACAAGAUUAUUAUGUUAUAUUUGUAUAUGUUAUUUUGAUAGCCUAAGGGGCACAUGUAUAAUAAAAUCAUUUGUGUUGUCAAAUGAAAAAUGGUUGUCUUAUGAUUAUGAGAUUAUGAAUGAUAAAGAAAUGUAAAAUGGUUAUGACGAGUGAGGAAACGAGCGGUGCUAGGUGGUUAGUCCCGGGUACCCGUCGCGGCCCUAGUCGGGUCGUGACAAAGUUAGUUAUGAAUGAAAGCUCCCUUAUCAUGUAAACUAUAUUGUCAACAUAUUUUAUGAAGAUGAGAGUAUGAAAUCCACGUAC